rnacentral:rRNA from 1 species
ACUCCUGCGGGAGGCAGCAGUGGGGAAUAUUGCACAAUGGGCGCAAGCCUGAUGCAGCCAUGCCGCGUGUAUGAAGAAGGCCUUCGGGUUGUAAAGUACUUUCAGCGGGGAGGAAGGCGAUAAGGUUAAUAACCUUGUCGAUUGACGUUACCCGCAGAAGAAGCACCGGCUAACUCCGUGCCAGCAGCCGCGGUAAUACGGAGGGUGCAAGCGUUAAUCGGAAUUACUGGGCGUAAAGCGCACGCAGGCGGUCUGUCAAGUCGGAUGUGAAAUCCCCGGGCUCAACCUGGGAACUGCAUUCGAAACUGGCAGGCUAGAGUCUUGUAGAGGGGGGUAGAAUUCCAGGUGUAGCGGUGAAAUGCGUAGAGAUCUGGAGGAAUACCGGUGGCGAAGGCGGCCCCCUGGACAAAGACUGACGCUCAGGUGCGAAAGCGUGGGGAGCAAACAGGAUUAGAAACCCGAGUAGUCCC